GACUUUAUUAUUUUAUUACCGUCUCAUUUGUUGUCUUCUGAUAUUAAGUUUGUUUGUAUCCUGUUGUGUUUUGUUAUUUAAUUGAAAUCCUCACCAAAAGGAGGGAUACCAAGAGGGAGAAAAGAUCAAGAGGGAGAAAAGAAAGUUGAGAUGUGGUGGUGUACAUCGUUGCGGCUGUGGGUUUAGCAGCGCUCUUAAUAGUCAUUGUGGCGGUCAUCAGAUGGAAGAAAACUAAAGGGGACCGACCACGUGUGGAUGACAGGAUCGAACAGGGCCAUAACCCCGCAGUGACUCAG